GACGAACGCUGGCGGCGUGCCUAAUACAUGCAAGUUGAGCGAUGAAGCUUGGUGCUUGCACCAAUUUGAAGAGCAGCGAACGGGUGAGUAACGCGUGGGGAAUCUGCCUUUGAGCGGGGGACAACAUUUGGAAACGAAUGCUAAUACCGCAUAGCAACUUUAAACAUAAGUUUUAAGUUUGAAAGAUGCAAUUGCAUCACUCAAAGAUGAUCCCGCGUUGUAUUAGCUAGUUGGUGAGGUAAAGGCUCACCAAGGCGAUGAUACAUAGCCGACCUGAGAGGGUGAUCGGCCACAUUGGGACUGAGACACGGCCCAAACUCCUACGGGAGGCAGCAGUAGGGAAUCUUCGGCAAUGGACGAAAGUCUGACCGAGCAACGCCGCGUGAGUGAAGAAGGUUUUCGGAUCGUAAAACUCUGUUGGUAGAGAAGAACGUUGGUGAGAGUGGAAAGCUCAUCAAGUGACGGUAACUACCCAGAAAGGGACGGCUAACUACGUG
rnacentral:rRNA from 1 species